GACAAGAGCAAAAUUCAGUGUGAAAGUUUUUCAGACGUUACUCCUGGGGGGAAGUCUGAGCCACUGUGCAUAAUUCAUGUCCCCCUGCAGAUUUUUCCCCCCCUCCAAGAAUAUAGAUUCUGCUGGAGAGACACUGCAGUUAUACCUUUUGCACAUCAAAGUCUGCUGUGGAGCCAGAAGAGAGGACAGCCAGCUGGUGGAGAGGGAGGCAAAGAGGCUGCAUUCCUCACAGCGGGACCAGAACAGAUAUAGUAUGGCCAACAGCAGCGCAAACUUCUCCAUAUUACCCCCACCAACAAACUUCAACCUUGACGUCAGGGGAAUCCCAUCUAGGGGUUACAGGGACCAUGAAGAUCAUGAAGAUAUUUGGGCAUAUUUUGACACUUAGAAGCACUCAAGUCAGGACGCCCUCUAACAGGAGGAAAGAUUCUCACUGGCAAACAUUACUUACAUACUGAACCACAGUAUCUGAGGAACUGCUUAAAUUAUGGGAGCCACAUAAGUACAAUGCACAGUUUGCGCUAAACAUCAGCCAGUGCUCUGUUAGUGUGGGCAUUUCCAGACUCUAGAGUUCCACAAUGAUUUUCAAAAAGUGAAUUGAAAAGUAAAAGUUUAUGCCCUUUACUGCUAUUUUGUAAUGUAUAGUGACCGCCGAGAAGGUUUUUUUUCCCCCUCAAAAAAGCUUUUUUUGAAAAAAAAAA